rnacentral:rRNA from 1 species
UGGGGAAUUUUGCGCAAUGGGGGAAACCCUGACGCAGCAACGCCGCGUGAGUGAUGAAGGCCUUCGGGUCGUAAAGCUCUGUCAGAGGGAAAGAAGUGCGAGAGGGUUAAUACCCCUUUUGCUUGACGGUACCCUCAAAGGAAGCACCGGCUAACUCCGUGCCAGCAGCCGCGGUAAUACGGAGGGUGCGAGCGUUGUUCGGAAUUAUUGGGCGUAAAGCGCGUGUAGGCGGUCUUUUAAGUCUGAUGUGAAAGCCCCGGGCUCAACCUGGGAAGUGCAUUGGAAACUGGGAGACUUGAAUACGGGAGAGGGUAGUGGAAUUCCUAGUGUAGGAGUGAAAUCCGUAGAUAUUAGGAGGAACACCGGUGGCGAAGGCGGCUACCUGGACCGAUAUUGACGCUGAGACGCGAAAGCGUGGGGAGCAAACAGG